CCCAAAAGCCCAUCCUGCUCCCACCAGCCCAGAGCUCAGAGCCAGCCCAGCCCUCAGGGCUGUUCCCAGCUGGUGUCCAGCAGGAGCUCUGUGCUUUCCUCAGCUGGUACCAAUGGUCUGAGCAGCAAAUCCCCUGCCCAGCCUCCCCUCCCCGCUGGAAACCCCUGUGAGAUACUCAGUGAUUAAUUCCCCAUUUAGCAGGGGGCUGUGCUCUGUGAGCCUGAGAAAACAGCAGCACAGGGCUUGUUUAUCAGGAGAAUAAACAGGAACUGAAAGUGCUCUUGCCACGUUUGGAUCGAGUUCUCCUGGAUAAAAGGGGAAAAGCAAAUUAUUGUUGUUUGUGCUGUAAGCAGCCUGAGCUCUUUUCUCUUCCAGGGAAACCCAUUAGGCCUUUUCAGGCACUUAAAGGGGGGAGUUGUAUGAUCUAUAAAAAUGCAGCUUCCUGCCUCUCCUUCUGCUCCUGCAGGUCCCCUUUUCCAGGGAAACCCGUACAGGGAAUCUCAGGGGCUUGUUCUGAAGAAAAUAUUCCCAGCUUCCUCUCCAGUUGCCUUCUCCAAGGCCCAUCCUCCUCCUUCAGGGCACGAGGCCACCCUGCCUCUGCA
rnacentral:lncRNA from 1 species